AUUGAACGCUGGCGGCAGGCCUAACACAUGCAAGUCGAACGAGUGGCGGACGGGUGAGUAAUGUCUGGGAAACUGCCCGAUGGAGGGGGAUAACUACUGGAAACGGUAGCUAAUACCGCAUACCAUCGGAUGUGCCCAGGUGGGAUUAGCUAGUAGGUGGGGUAACGGCUCACAUAGGCGACGAUCCCUAGCUGGUCUGAGAGGAUGACCGGCCACACUGGAACUGAGACACGGUCCAGACUCCUACGGGAGGCAGCAGUGGGGAAUAUUGCGCAAUGGGCGAAAGCCUGAUGCAGCAAUGCCGCGUGUAUGAAGAAGGCCUUCGGGUUGUAAAGUACUUUCAGCGGGGAGGCGGUACUCGCAGAAGAAGCACCGGCUAACUCCGUGCCAGCAGCCGCGGUAAUAC
rnacentral:rRNA from 1 species